rnacentral:lncRNA from 1 species
CCCUGAUGGAACAUUAGUUAUAUUAAUUGAUAUGCAUAGUGGUUCCUUGAUACUAGGAACGUGUAUCUUUUAGUUAAUAAGUUAUUCCUGCAUAUUUCGGGAUGUACAUUGACUCAUUCAACGCUACUUAUAACUGAUGUUACUUACUACAUUUCCUAUGUUCUUUGACUAGGGCGAUCGGUCACCGAGACCGGAACUGGUC